rnacentral:SRP_RNA from 13 species
GCUGGGCAUGGUGGUGCAUGCCUGUAAUCCCAGCUACUCGGGAGGCUGAGGCAGGAGAAUUGCUUGAACCCAGGAGGCGGAGGUUGCGGUGAGCUGAGAUCGCGCCAUUGCACUCCAGUCUGGGUAACAACAGCGAAUCUCCAUCUCAAAAAAAAAAAAGAAUAUGUAAGAUACAUAUAUGCAGCAUGUUUUUUUUUUUUUGAGACAGUCUUGCUGCCCAGGCUGGAGUGCAGUGGCAUGAUAUGGGCUCACUGCAACCUCCAUCACCUGGGUUCAAGCCAUUCUCCUGUCUC